rnacentral:rRNA from 1 species
GACGAACGCUGGCGGCGUGCUUAACACAUGCAAGUCGAACGGAAAGGCCCUGCUUGCAGGGUACUCGAGUGGCGAACGGGUGAGUAACACGUGGGUGAUCUGCCCUGCACUUCGGGAUAAGCCUGGGAAACUGGGUCUAAUACCGGAUAGGAGCCAUUUUUAGUGUGAUGGUUGGAAAGUUUUUUCGGUGUAGGAUGAGCUCGCGGCCUAUCAGCUUGUUGGUGGGGUAAUGGCCUACCAAGGCGGCGACGGGUAGCCGGCCUGAGAGGGUGGACGGCCACAUUGGGACUGAGAUACGGCCCAGACUCCUACGGGAGGCAGCAGUGGGGAAUAUUGCACAAUGGGCGCAAGCCUGAUGCGGCGACGCCGCGUGGGGGAUGACGGCCUUCGGGUUGUAAACUCCUUUCGCUAGGGACGAAGCUUUUUGUGACGGUACCUAGUGAAGAAGCACCGGCUAACUACGUG